CCUUCCCCAACCACCACACGUGAUGGGGUUCUGGCCACCAACUCCCUGGUGCCAGAACCCCAUCACCGGGUUAUCCAAAUUUUUGGACAACCCGACUUUUUAAGGACCACCUGCAAAACCAAACGGGGGGAGAGAUCAAAUCAAAAAAUCUACCAAAAGCUACCUAGCCACAAGGAACCAAAAAAACAAAAAAGCCACAGAUCAAAAAUCCUAAAUCUACCAGCAGCAAGACCUAGCACACAAAAAAAAAAAACCCAAUCGGGGUUUCAACGGGGGAUUCGGUUCAGUUUGAGGGAGAGGGACCGAUGAGAUGUGGGGGAAGGUUAGAUUUUUGGGGUGCCGGUCAUUGGCAGGGGAAAGCCUAAACCCGUUUGGGUCACCGUCGACCGAGGUAGGGGGUACCAGAUCCAUCGAUUGGAAGGGAAAAGGGCUUCAAGGGAGAGAUAGGAGCAUCUGGGCCGCCGAUCGGAGGGAAGCAAAAGGGGUAGUACGCCAGCGCUGGCGGGAAGAGGAAAGGGUUUUUUAGAGAGAAGGCAGAGAGUGGCGGCUAGAGAGAGAAAAAGAAAUUUGAAAAUGAAUAAAAAAAGCUAAAAAGGGGUUUUUAUACCCAAAGGAAAGAGAGCAAAACGGUAUCGUUUCAGUGGGGUAGCUGAAGUUGGAAAGUCCAGACCCAAACGGCAUCAUUUUGAGCAGCUCCACAGGCACCAAACGGUGCGUUUUGAACUCUGCUUUGUGGACCAAGGAAGUGGGCUUGGGACGCCCCGCGCAGCCCAGACAACUUGGGCCACCAUCCUAGCCCAAGCAAGGUGAGGCCUUACCCAUUUAUUGCGAAUUUGAGCUUAUUAUUUU
rnacentral:lncRNA from 1 species